UAGGGAAUCUUCGGCAAUGGACGAAAGUCUGACCGAGCAACGCCGCGUGAGUGAAGAAGGUUUUCGGAUCGUAAAACUCUGUUGUUAGAGAAGAACAAGGACGUUAGUAACUGAACGUCCCCUGACGGUAUCUAACCAGAAAGCCACGGCUAACUACGUGCCAGCAGCCGCGGUAAUACGUAGGUGGCAAGCGUUGUCCGGAUUUAUUGGGCGUAAAGCGAGCGCAGGCGGUUUCUUAAGUCUGAUGUGAAAGCCCCCGGCUCAACCGGGGAGGGUCAUUGGAAACUGGGAGACUUGAGUGCAGAAGAGGAGAGUGGAAUUCCAUGUGUAGCGGUGAAAUGCGUAGAUAUAUGGAGGAACACCAGUGGCGAAGGCGGCUCUCUGGUCUGUAACUGACGCUGAGGCUCGAAAGCGUGAGGAGCAAACAGG
rnacentral:rRNA from 1 species